rfam:Arabis alpina cultivar Pajares Aa.chr6_contig_1440, whole genome shotgun sequence.
ACCCCAUGGUGUGGACAAGAUCGUGUGUAUCCCUUAAACCGUUCCCAAGCUUCAAACAACGAUUCAUUGCCUCCUUGCUUGAAAGUAGCGAUGUCAUUUCUUAUUUU